AGUGAACGCUGGCGGUAGGCCUAACACAUGCAAGUCGAACGGCAGCACAGUAAGAUCUUGCUCUUACGGGUGGCGAGUGGCGGACGGGUGAGGAAUACAUCGGAAUCUACUUUUUCGUGGGGGAUAACGUAGGGAAACUGACGCUAAUACCUCAUACUACCUACGGCUUAAAGCAGGAGAUCUUCGGACCUUGCGCGAUUGAAUGAGCCGAUGUCGGAUUAGCUAGUUGGCGGGGUAAAGGCCCACCAAGGCGACGAUCCGUAGCUGGUCUGAGAGGAUGAUCAGCCACACUGGAACUGAGACACGGUCCAGACUCCUACGGGAGGCAGCAGUGGGGAAUAUUGGACAAUGGGCGCAAGCCUGAUCCAGCAAUACCGCGUGGGUGAAGAAGGCCUUCGGGUUGUAAAGCCCUGUUGUUGGGAAAGAAAAGAAGCAGGUUAAUACCCGGCUGUUCUGACGGUACCUAAAGAAUAAGCACCGGCUAACUUCGUG
rnacentral:rRNA from 1 species